rnacentral:rRNA from 1 species
GGCCUAACACAUGCAAGUCGAACGCGGUUAUCCAGCAAUGGAUGACUGAGUGGCGAACGGGUGAGUAACACGUGGGUGACCUACCUUCGAGUGGGGGAUAACGUCCCGAAAGGGACGCUAAUACCGCAUAACAUCCCGCCUUUGAACAGGUGGCGAUCAAAGCCGGGGACCGCAAGGCCCGGCGCUUGAUGAGGGGCCCGCGUCCGAUUAGCUAGUUGGUGAGGUAACGGCCCACCAAGGCGACGAUCGGUAACCGGCCUGAGAGGGCGGACGGUCACACUGGGACUGAGACACGGCCCAGACUCCUACGGGAGGCAGCAGUGGGGAAUUGUUCGCAAUGGGCGCAAGCCUGACGACGCAACGCCGCGUGGAGGAUGAAGGUCUUCGGAUUGUAAACUCCUGUUGCUCGGGACGAAAUGCUUCGACCUAAUACGUCGAAGUUUGACGGUACCGAGUGAGGAAGCCCCGGCUAACUCUGUGCCAGCAGCCGCGGUAAUACAGAGGGGGCAAGCGUUGUUCGGAAUUACUGGGCGUAAAGGGCGCGUAGGCGGCCUGUUAAGUCGAACGUGAAAUCCCUGGGCUCAACCCAGGAACUGCGUCCGAUACUGGCAGGCUUGAAUUCGGGAGAGGGAUGCGGAAUUCCGGGUGUAGCGGUGAAAUGCGUAGAUAUCUGGAGGAACACCGGUGGCGAAGGCGGCAUCCUGGACCGAUAUUGACGCUGAGGCGCGAAAGCCAGGGGAGCAAACGGGAUUAGAUACCCCGGUAGUCCUGGCCCUAAACGAUGAAUGCUUGGUGUGGCGGGUAUCGAUCCCUGCCGUGCCGAAGCUAACGCAUUA